AGAAUCAACGCUGGCGGCGUGCCUAACACAUGCAAGUCGAACGAGAAAGUGGAGCAAUCCAUGAGUAAAGUGGCGCACGGGUGAGUAACACGUGACUAACCUACCCUUGAGUGGGGGAUAACCUAGAGAAAUCUGGGCUAAUACCGCAUAAUACCUUCGGGUCAAAGGAGCAAUUCGCUUUAGGAGGGGGUCGCGGCCGAUUAGUUAGUUGGCGGGGUAAUGGCCCACCAAGACUGUGAUCGGUA
rnacentral:rRNA from 1 species